UACGUAGGGAGCAAGCGUUGUUCGGAUUUACUGGGCGUAAAGGGCGCGUAGGCGGCCUGCUAAGUCGAACGUGAAAUCCCCGGGCUCAACCCGGGAACUGCGUCCGAUACUGGAAGGCUUGAAUCCGGGAGAGGGAUGCGGAAUUCCAGGUGUAGCGGUGAAAUGCGUAGAUAUCUGGAGGAACACCGGUGGCGAAGGCGGCAUCCUGGACCGGCAUUGACGCUGAGGCGCGAAAGCCAGGGGAGCAAACGGG
rnacentral:rRNA from 1 species